rnacentral:rRNA from 1 species
GACGAACGCUGGCGGCGUGCUUAACACAUGCAAGUCGAACGGAAAGGCCCUGCUUUUGUGGGGUGCUCGAGUGGCGAACGGGUGAGUAACACGUGAGUAACCUGCCCUUGACUUUGGGAUAACUUCAGGAAACUGGGGCUAAUACCGGAUAGGAGCACCUGCUGCAUGGUGGGGGUUGGAAAGUUUCGGCGGUUGGGGAUGGACUCGCGGCUUAUCAGCUUGUUGGUGGGGUGGUGGCUUACCAAGGCGUUGACGGGUAGCCGGCCUGGGAGGGUGACCGGCCACAUUGGGACUGAGAUACGGCCCAGACUCCUACGGGAGGCAGCAGUGGGGAAUAUUGCACAAUGGGCGGAAGCCUGAUGCAGCGACGCCGCGUGCGGGAUGACGGCCUUCGGGUUGUAAACCGCUUUCGCCUGGGACGAAGCGCGAGUGACGGUAAUGGGUAAAGAAGCACCGGCUAACUACGUG